AUUGAACGCUGGCGGCAGGCCUAACACAUGCAAGUCGAGCGGGGACUUCGGUCCUAGCGGCGAACGGGUGAGUAAUGCUUGGGAAUCUGCCCAGUAGUGGGGGAUAACGUCCCGAAAGGGACGCUAAUACCGCAUACGUCCUACGGGAGAAAGAGGGGGAUCUUCGGACCUCUCGCUAUUGGAUGAGCCCAAGUCGGAUUAGCUAGUUGGUAGGGUAAUGGCCUACCAAGGCGACGAUCCGUAGCUGGUCUGAGAGGAUGAUCAGCCACACUGGAACUGAGCCACGGUCCAGACUCCUACGGGAGGCAGCAGUGGGGAAUAUUGGACAAUGGGCGAAAGCCUGAUCCAGCCAUGCCGCGUGUGUGAAGAAGGCCUUCGGGUUGUAAAGCACUUUAAGCGGGGAGGAAGGUUCGCGGCCUAAUACGUCGCGGAAUUGACGUUACCCGCAGAAUAAGCACCGGCUAACUCUGUG
rnacentral:rRNA from 1 species